GAUAUACAACUUGUUAUCUUUUUUGAAAAUCACUGGCUGAAAGGAGGAUACAGACAUGUCACUCUAUCUGAAGUUAACAUUGGCUCUGCUUCUUCUGUCAACUCACAAGGAUGCUCGGGAGAUGAUAGCAGCCUGCCAGGACCUUCCCAGAUUCUUUCCUAUUCUCAUGAAAGCAGAGAAAGCAUUUUUAAUCUUCAUGACUGACUCAGCAGAAAUUGAGAGAUUCAAAAAUGUUCCUUCCGCUCCAUGGUAACUAAUGUUAGUAUGAACAGAUUGCUUAGCCCAUACUCUCUCUCCCACAAUCUGUUGAAUACAUGAAUUAACACAGGCAUUUUCUGGCUCUCUCUGUUCCCUGAUGUUGUGGUUAUUGUUUAACAAUCAGAUCUAAAUGUUUGAUUCUGGGUUUCAUUCAGUACUAAUAUUACCGUAAAAGUAAAAAUCUAAAUCUGUCAACAUCAUACAGGCAUGAGAUACUCUCAUAUUGCUUACUGAUCCUGCCCUGUUCGCACACAAUAUGCAGUUCAGUAACAAUAUACAGCAACAUUCUCCAUUCUUAAAUAGUCCUAAAGCAGGCAAAAACUCUCAUCCAAGUUUCAGUCUCUGAUAAAGAUUUAAAACUGUCAAGAUUUUGAGAUUUGGCCCGUUAAAAAAAAAACACAAGGUGGCGUGGUAUUGGCAUGCCUGUGGGAUACCUGCUGCUCAUCCCAAAUGAUUGAUUGUGACAGAAUAUACCCCUGUGUCCACACCCUAGACAGUAUUGUAAUGUUUGUACAAGGUAUACCUUGUGAGGUAUUUAAAAACUCAUAACUUGCUGAUCAAUAAUACCAUGGUAAA